UACGUAGGGUGCAAGCGUUGUCCGGAAUUAUUGGGCGUAAAGAGCUCGUAGGUGGUUCGGUAAGUCGGAUGUGAAAUCUCCAGGCUCAACCUGGAGGGGUCAUUCGAUACUGCCGUGACUAGAGUUCGGUAGGGGAGUGUGGAAUUCCUGGUGGAGCGGUGAAAUGCGCAGAUAUCAGGAGGAACACCCGUAGCGAAGGCGGCACUCUGGGCCGAUACCGACACUGAGGAGCGAAAGCGUGGGGAGCGAACAGG
rnacentral:rRNA from 1 species